UUUCCCACGGCGCCCGGGAGCCGGUAGUCGCCGGUAGUCGCCGGGCGGGAGCGCUGCCGGGGGCGGGGUGACGCAGCUCCGCUCUCCCCAUCUCUCCCCGUCCCCGGCGAGCCUCGCGGGGGAGCGCUGCGACCCCCGCCGCGGGCCCGGCCGCAAAAAUGGGUCAGGAUCCGACUGAGCAUGCUCGCCGGCUCGCGGCCGCGUCGGGCGCCCAGGUAGACCCAGCCGGGCCUCCGGUCGGGCCGCGCGGGGGCGGCGCAGGUGCGCGGUCCGGGAGCAGGCAUCCUUGACAAUUGCAUGAGGACACGAAGUUUUCACCUGCUUUUUCGAAGAUGAAGGCCUUGUCCUCACUCUCAGAUCAUUGCGCGGUGUCAGAGUCCAUUUUUUCUUCAGUUCUUCCUUCCUCUGAGACUCCACGUUCUCCAGGACCCUGCAGAGCGCGCUCGCGCCGCCUUGGAUGCACUUGGGUGGGUGUGGGAACUUGCUGCUAGCCUUCGGUUUCGGAGGAGAAGACGGGAAUGGAGAGCUUCCAGGGAAGGGAGGCUACAGGCAGGAGAGGAGUAAACUCAGGAACCCAGAGAAAUGCUUUCAGCCCCGGUGGUCCUUCUCUUCUUUCUCCGACUCUGCCCAUCCUCCUGGCUCCAGUCCACCUCCAUCACUACCAGGAAACCUUCCCUAGCUGUUCUCACCAGCAGACGGCCCAACUCUGUACCACCAGCCUUUAGUAACUUGGUCCCUUCUGUCUCCUGAUUUUUAUUCACUGAAAUUUGAAAUGUACACACCAUCUUAUGUUUUAAUCAUGCCAUGCAUUUAUUAGUCUCCUGGCAUUU